CAGUAGCCGCGGUAAUACGUAGGGUGCGAGCGUUAAUCGGAAUUACUGGGCGUAAAGCGUGCGCAGGCGGUUUUGUAAGACAGGCGUGAAAUCCCCGGGCUCAACCUGGGAAUGGCGCUUGUGACUGCAAAGCUAGAGUGCGGCAGAGGGGGAUGGAAUUCCGCGUGUAGCAGUGAAAUGCGUAGAUAUGCGGAGGAACACCGAUGGCGAAGGCAAUCCCCUGGGCCUGCACUGACGCUCAUGCACGAGAGCGUGGGGAGCAAACAGGAUUAGAUACCCGCGUAGUCCCUGUCUCUUAUAC
rnacentral:rRNA from 1 species